UGCCAAAAGAAUAAUGAACCUGUUGUAUGACCAUCGGCCUUCUCCGUUAUCUGAGGAUGAUUAUAUAGAGUUUGUCUGAUUCGAAAGAGAAAGGGGGUAAAUUUUUGAGACCUCUCUGGUGUAAUUGUUGGAACAAACAAUGUGGCUAGGAGGGAUCGAACACAGGAACAACAGUUUUUACCAUCUGGAAAACCAUUGGUACCUGAUUAUGUCUUUACCUUGAAACAAGGAAAAUCUAAAAGACCAUUUGCAAGAUUAUGGUGGGAUGAGACAAUGCCGACUGUUCUAACUGCACCUUUUUGUCACAGCCAAGUUUCACUUUGCACUAGUUUAGUAUGUAAGAUUACACAUUUACUAGUCCUUUGGAUUUGCUUGUGAGUUUUAGGAGUUGUGUAGGCAACAUUUGUUGCGCGGAAGCGUGUGAAAGAGUAAAAAUAUUGUACUGAAAAAUCACACUAAGUUCAAUUCUCAGGAAAGAGAGGUAGAUCACGAAGAUCACUUAAA